GACGAAUUGCCACCGGUUACUGCCGUUCGGCGGAUUGCAAAUCCGUGUACAGGAGUUCGAUUCUCCUACUCGCCUCCA
rnacentral:tRNA from 1 species